ensembl:lncRNA MEG3 maternally expressed 3
GCAGACGGCGGAGAGCAGAGAGGGAGCGCGCCUUGGCUCGCUGGCCUUGGCGGCGGCUCCUCAGGAGAGCUGGGGCGCCCACGAGAGGAUCCCUCACCCGGGUCUCUCCUCAGGGAUGACAUCAUCCGUCCACCUCCUUGUCUUCAAGGACCACCUCCUCUCCAUGCUGAGCUGCUGCCAAGGGGCCUGCUGCCCAUCUACACCUCACGAGGGCACUAGGAGCACGGUUUCCUGGAUCCCACCAACAUACAAAGCAGCCACUCACUGACCCCCAGGACCAGGAUGGCAAAGGAUGAAGAGGACCGGAACUGACCAGCCAGCUGUCCCUCUUACCUAAAGACUUAAACCAAUGCCCUAGUGAGGGGGCAUUGGGCAUUAAGCCCUGACCUUUGCUAUGCUCAUACUUUGACUCUAUGAGUACUUUCCUAUAAGUCUUUGCUUGUGUUCACCUGCUAGCAAACUGGAGUGUUUCCCUCCCCAAGGGGGUGUCAGUCUUUGUCGACUGACUCUGUCAUCACCCUUAUGAUGUCCUGAAUGGAAGGAUCCCUUUGGGAAAUUCUCAGGAGGGGGACCUGGGCCAAGGGCUUGGCCAGCAUCCUGCUGGCAACUCCAAGGCCCUGGGUGGGCUUCUGGAAUGAGCAUGCUACUGAAUCACCAAAGGCACGCCCGACCUCUCUGAAGAUCUUCCUAUCCUUUUCUGGGGGAAUGGGGUCGAUGAGAGCAACCUCCUAGGGUUGUUGUGAGAAUUAAAUGAGAUAAAAGAGGCCUCAGGCAGGAUCUGGCAUAGAGGAGGUGAUCAGCAAAUGUUUGUUGAAAAGGUUUGACAGGUCAGUCCCUUCCCACCCCUCUUGCUUGUCUUACUUGUCUUAUUUAUUCUCCAACAGCACUCCAGGCAGCCCUUGUCCACGGGCUCUCCUUGCAUCAGCCAAGCUUCUUGAAAGGCCUGUCUACACUUGCUGUCUUCCUUCCUCACCUCCAAUUUCCUCUUCAACCCACUGCUUCCUGACUCGCUCUACUCCGUGGAAGCACGCUCACAAAGGGCUAAUCUCGGGCCUUGUCGAAGGAAGAGGCUGCAGACGUUAAUGAGGUUAGCUGCUGGAUUCCAGUAUUCGUCGCAUAAGGAUCCUUCUUUGUCUGCGAAGGAAAAACACACUGAUUAUCAUAAUGAGUUCCUGACCUGGCCAUCCCGGGGUGCCCUUGACCAGCCCCGUGUCUCCUCAGGGUGUCCCAGCACCAGCCUGGCACAGAGUGGGGCUCAGUUAGAGUAUGUGGGAUGUUGGUUUCGCCAGCAGGUUCCCAGUGCCCCCGACAAGCCCCUGCUGGUGUCUCCAUCUCCUGCCAAGCAUCCUCCAGUGCCUCCUCCUGUGGGCCUGGCCUCAGGGCUAUGGACAGACUCCUGUCCCAUCCCAGAGACCCCUCGUGAUCGUGCCCUGGCACGUGGGCCGUGGCCCGGCUGGGUCGGCUGAAGAACUGCGGAUGGAAGCUGCGGAAGAGGCCCUGAUGGGGCCCACCAUCCCGGACCCAAGUCUUCUUCCUGGCGGGCCUCUCGUCUCCUUCCUGGUUUGGGCGGAAGCCAUCACCUGGAUGCCUACGUGGGAAGGGACCUCGAAUGUGGGACCCCAGCCCCUCUCCAGCUCGAAAUCCCUCCACAGCCACGGGGACACCCUGCACCUAUUCCCACGGGACAGGCUGGACCCAGAGACUCUGGACCCGGGGCCUCCCCUUGAGUAGAGACCCGCCCUCUGACUGAUGGACGCCGCUGACCUGGGGUCAGACCCGUGGGCUGGACCCCUGCCCACCCCGCAGGAACCCUGAGGCCUAGGGGAGCUGUUGAGCCUUCAGUGUCUGCAUGUGGGAAGUGGGCUCCUUCACCUACCUCACAGGGCUGUUGUGAGGGGCGCUGUGAUGCGGUUCCAAAGCACAGGGCUUGGCGCACCCCACUGUGCUCU